CUGAGCUCUGACUAAAGAGGCACUCCCCCUCCUUCUGAGAAAAGCAUGGAUUCCCAGUUUCCUUAAAUCAUGAUGAGCAGUCAGUUGUCCAAAGCUUGAUGUACUAGGUCUACAGAAGAUCAACUGUGCCCCUGUGAACAAUCUGUAUGGACCGAUGGUUUCUCAGCCAGGUGUUUUUCAGGUAUUCCAGCUCCUUUGCCCUUGAAUAUAACUGCACCAUAUUAAGU